AUCCACGAAAAGGCAGGGUUUCUAAGGUGCUGAUUAAUCCUAUUUAAAUUGAAUGUAUAAUUAAAAUUAGCAAAACUGAUGAAACUAAGACCGCAAUUUUUAUAAUUAUUCAAAACUAGAUUUUCUUAUAGUAUCAUGAGUAAAUAGAUUGUGUCAUGUGACAUUACCUGCGUGACGUAGAGUCCAGUUUAAAGCGCAGGUAGAAGAACCCGGAAAAAAACACAAACGACUAAAUCAUAUUUACAGCCUGCUAAAAGUCUUUCUCGACAGUUUUGCGUCUAAUAUAAUUCUCUGAUUAAAGGACAGUCACCAUGCCCAGUACUGACCGCGCUGGAUUGACCCACUGCAAGUUUGUUCUCAUAUUUGCCGUCGUUACGGAUCUUUUCGGAGUCUCUACCCUCCUCAUCGGCAUCUUCGUCCCACUUGAAAUCGCGGGUCGUGACUUCGGUGAUCUAUUGGUGUACUCUGGAGCUGUGCUAGUGUUGAUGUCUAUGGGGGCUUGGAUCAUGUGGUACAGUGGGAAUAUUGAUGGUUUGUUAUCAGGAAAGGAAUUAAGACAUAAACACGACGCCGUGGACCUGCUCGCUCGCACGCUCAGCCGCCGCAUACGGAAACCCCACCGAGGCCACAGCACGUCUUGACCUUCGACCUAAGCACUUCGGCCAUAUACAUAUCAGAUAUAUAUUUGAACUCUGAUAAUUGACAAUGUGGUUUGUGCAAACAAAACACGUUGCAGCCUACCUGUACUGUGAAAUAAGCUAGGCUAUAACUGAGAGUUGCACAUGUGUUAUGAGCAAUUUUUACUUUAUUUCUUUUUGUAGUAAUCAUGUUUGUUGACAAAUAAAAUUCAAGCACUGUCAA